UCAAGAAACUUCCACAAUGGGCGAAAGCCUGAUGGAGCGACGUCGCGUGAUGGACGAAGUGCUUCGGCACGUAAACAUCUUUUAUGUGGGAUGAAAUUAUUGACAGUACCACAUGAAUAAGGGGCUCCUAACUCUGUGCCAGCAGGAGCGGUAAUACAGAGGCCCCAAGCGUUAUCCGGAAUCACUGGGCGUAAAGGGUGUCGAGGCGGUUGUAUUAGUCGUUCGUAAAAUCUACGAGCUUAACUUGUAGGCGGCGAACGAAACGGUACGACUUGAGGUUUGGAGAGGUGCGUGGAACUCACGGUGUAGGGGUGAAAUCCGUUGAUAUCGUGGGGAACACCAAAGGCGAAGGCAGCGCACUGGCCAAAAUCUGACGCUCACACACGAAAGCUAGGGUAGCGAAGAGGAUUAGAUACCCUGGUAGUCCCUGAGCGGGCUGGCAAGGCGCAU
rnacentral:rRNA from 1 species